rnacentral:rRNA from 1 species
GGAAAGGCGCGCGAUACAGGGUGACAGCCCCGUACACAAAAAUGCACAUGCUGUGAGCUCGAUGAGUAGGGCGGGACACGUGGUAUCCUGUCUGAAUAUGGGGGGACCAUCCUCCAAGGCUAAAUACUCCUGACUGACCGAUAGUGAACCAGUACCGUGAGGGAAAGGCGAAAAGAACCCCGGCGAGGGGAGUGAAAAAGAACCUGAAACCGUGUACGUACAAGCAGUGGGAGCACGCUUAGGCGUGUGACUGCGUACCUUUUGUAUAAUGGGUCAGCGACUUAUAUUCUGUAGCAAGGUUAACCGAAUAGGGGAGCCGAAGGGAAACCGAGUCUUAACUGGGCGUUAAGUUGCAGGGUAUAGACCCGAAACCCGGUGAUCUAGCCAUGGGCAGGUUGAAGGUUGGGUAACACUAACUGGAGGACCGAACCGACUAAUGUUGAAAAAUUAGCGGAUGACUUGUGGCUGGGGGUGAAAGGCCAAUCAAACCGGGAGAUAGCUGGUUCUCCCCGAAAGCUAUUUAGGUAGCGCCUCGUGAAUUCAUCUCCGGGGGUAGAGCACUGUUUCGGCAAGGGGGUCAUCCCGACUUACCAACCCGAUGCAAACUGCGAAUACCGGAGAAUGUUAUCACGGGAGACACACGGCGGGUGCUAACGUCCGUCGUGAAGAGGGAAACAACCCAGACCGCCAGCUAAGGUCCCAAAGUCAUGGUUAAGUGGGAAACGAUGUGGGAAGGCCCAGACAGCCAGGAUGUUGGCUUAGAAGCAGCCAUCAUUUAAAGAAAGCGUAAUAGCUCACUGGUCGAGUCGGCCUGCGCGGAAGAUGUAACGGGGCUAAACCAUGCACCGAAGCUGCGGCAGCGACGCUGA